GCCAGGCAUGGUGGCUCAUGCCUGUAAUCCUAACACUUGGGAGGCCGAGGUGGGUGGAUUGCCUGAGCUCAGGAGUUCAAGACCAGCCUGGGCAACAUGGUGAAAUCCCAUCUCUA
ensembl:misc_RNA Metazoa_SRP Metazoan signal recognition particle RNA